CAAUAGCGUAUAUUAAAGUUGUUGCGGUUAAAAAGCUCGUAGUUGGAUUUCUGCCGAGGACGACCGGUCCGCCCUCUGGGUGAGCAUCUGGCUCGGCCUGGGCAUCUUCUUGGAGAACGUAUCUGCACUUGACUGUGUGGUGCGGUAUUCAGGACUUUUACUUUGAGGAAAUUAGAGUGUUUCAAGCAGGCAUACGCCUUGAAUACAUUAGCAUGGAAUAAUAAGAUAGGACCUCGGUUCUAUUUUGUUGGUUUCUAGAUCUGAGGUAAUGAUUAAUAGGGAGUAGUUGGGGGCGAUUUAUAUUCCAUUGUCAGAGGUGAAAUUCUUGGAUUAACGGAAGAUAAACUACUGCGAAAGCAUCUGCCAAGGAUGUUUUCUAUUGAUCAAGAACGAAAGUUAGGGGAUCGAAGACGAUC
rnacentral:rRNA from 1 species